AUUGAACGCUGGCGGCAGGCCUAACACAUGCAAGUCGAACGAGUGGCGGACGGGUGAGUAAUGUCUGGGAAACUGCCCGAUGGAGGGGGAUAACUACUGGAAACGGUAGCUAAUACCGCAUACCAUCGGAUGUGCCCAGAUGGGAUUAGCUAGUAGGUGGGGUAACGGCUCACCUAGGCGACGAUCCCUAGCUGGUCUGAGAGGAUGACCAGCAAACCUGGAACUGAGACAAGGUCCAGACUCCUACGGGAGGCAGCAGUGGGGAAUAUUGCGCAAUGGGCUGAAGCCUGAUGCAGCCAUGCCGCGUGUAUGAAGAAGGCCUUCGGGUUGUAAAGUACGUUCAGCGAGGAGGCGUUACUCGCAGAAGAAGCACCGGCUAACUCCGUGCCAGCAGCCGCGGUAAUUC
rnacentral:rRNA from 1 species